AGAGCGAACGCUGGCGGCAGGCCUAAUACAUGCAAGUCGAACGGAUCCUUCGGGAUUAGUGGCGGACGGGUGAGUAACACGUGGGAACGUGCCCUUUGGUUCGGAACAACUCAGGGAAACUUGAGCUAAUACCGGAUGUGCCCUUCGGGGGAAAGAUUUAUCGCCAUUGGAGCGGCCCGCGUCUGAUUAGCUAGUUGGUGGGGUAAAGGCCUACCAAGGCUACGAUCAGUAGCUGGUCUGAGAGGAUGAUCAGCCACACUGGGACUGAGACACGGCCCAGACUCCUACGGGAGGCAGCAGUAGGGAAUCUUGCGCAAUGGGCGAAAGCCUGACGCAGCCAUGCCGCGUGAAUGAUGAAGGUCUUAGGAUUGUAAAAUUCUUUCAGCGGGGACGAUAAUGACGGUACCCGCAGAAGAAGCCCGGCUAACUUCGCGCCAGCAGCCGC
rnacentral:rRNA from 1 species